AGCUACAUCCGUCACCUGACACGGCCCUACCAGGAACAGCCGCGCUCCCGCGGAUUCUGGUGCUGCUCGCGUCCCCGCUCCCCUAUUCCCCUUAUUUUAUUCCUGGCUCCCCUCGUCGAAAGUCUUCCAUUCUUCAAACUAGAUUAUUUAAAAAUGAAAAAGGAAGAAAGGAAAGCGAGGUCAUCUCAUUGCUCUAUCCGCCAAUCAGGAGGCUGAAUGUCAGUUUUGAACUAAAAGCCGCUCCGCUCCUCUUCUAGAUUUGGAAAACAAGCGAAAUUAAACUAAACCGCUGCACGCCUCUGACGCGACAUCUGGACACGGCGCGGCGCUGGCGCUGCCGGAGCUGUCGACCCGGCCUGGCGCCGGACUAGGACUAUUUGCCACGACAUUUCAAAGGAUUCCAAGAGAGAAUAUUGGUGUCCAUGCUGUGAUGAUUCCUCAGCUCCUCUCAUCUGAUCUCCGUCCUGGCCCCCAUGACUUUCUUUGUGGUAGUUAGGGUGUGGUAUGUGCCACUGAGGCCCACACCUAUUGCUUGUCCCUUUUGAUGAGAAGAAUAAGCCUCAUUCUGAUUCAACAGCAGAGAUCAAAGAAAAGACUUCUGUUUUCUGGCCACCAGAUAUAUGUUAUCUGUGCUUAAAGAAUUGAAAAACACACAUCAAAGGAGAAUUUUCUUGGAAAGAGAGGGUUCAAGCAUCACUGUUAGGUGUGCUGGAAUCCUUUCCCGAGUCAGUACUGCUUUCUAGAAGAAAACCGGGGAGAUCUAUUUGGAAUGUAUCUAACUCCAAAGAAACCAUCAGAGGUAACAGUAGAGACGGGGUUUCACCAUGUUGGCCAGACUGGUCUUGAACUCUCGACCUCGUGAUUCGCCCGCCUCGGCCUCCCAAAGUGCUGGGAUUACAGGUGUGAGACACCACACCCGGCGGAUAGAGAGAAUUUUGACAGGUGAUGGAGGCUUUUUAUUUUGCCACAAAACCACUGGUGACGUUGCCUGUGGCCACCUUGGAGAAGACACUGGAGGCCUGGGACAUGGAGACUGCUUUUCUGCAGAAACCACAUCCCUUGGAGUAAUGAGCUACACCUACCUCAAUUAUUCAGUGCAGUACAACACUCCAGACAGGGUCUCACUCUGUCACCCAGGCUGGAGUGUAUUGGCAUGAUUACAGCUCACUGCAACCUUGAACUCCCAGGCUCAAACCUGAGCAGCUGGGACUACAGAUGCACCACCAUGCAUGGUACCAGAGAUAUAAUAAUGAGAAACAGACAUGCUCCCUCCCCUCAUUGAGGUUACAGCUUAGUGUGGAGACACACAGAUGCCUAACGCACUAUGGUAUGGAAGGUGCUAUGGACACAGUGCUCAAAUCCAUGAUCUACAUAGGUGGAGAACUUCAGUAGAGGAAGUGGCAGGAAUUUGGGAAUGAGGAGCACAGUGAUUAAACUGGGGCCAUUCAUAUGAGAGUUUAAGAACUCAGACCAGUGACUUAGAUUGGCUUCUCUCACAUGGCAAGAAACAUUGCUGCUAGCACUUCCCGAGUUCUACGUUCUACAACAUCCACCACUGGAUCUUAACAUAGACGUAAGAUCAAAUGCAAUAGCAUGUCAAACAAUGUGUAACUCCAGUUAUACAAACAUUACUGUAUCUCAUUGGGGAUACGAAGCUCUACACACUUGAAGAUGGUGAAGGAAUAUAAAAAUCUAUGUCUCACAGUCCAGACUUGGAGUACAAGUAAUAAGAAGAAUAAAACUUAAUCCCUUAAGUAGAUUCACCAUAAGUUAGCUCAGAGCAAUUCCAGUGCAAGUAUGGUCUGUGAUCCAGUAGUAUCUUACAGACAGCAAGUUGAACAUUGUGGGAUGCAUGAGCUAUUGAGGCCUUUGCAGCUUUCUGCUACAUGGAGGCUAGGGCCAGAGUCAAGAUUUAUGCUUUGCAGCACACUGGUCAGCUGUUUUUGCAAAUCAGAUUAAAUGAUUUUUAAAUGAGGCUGAGAGCAUGGGAGAUACUAAUGUGUGUUUCCUUGUGAGCUACUGCAUAAGUUAGGAAAUUGAAAUACAGAAAGAUGAAAAGUGAUUUGCCCAAGCAUAUAGAUCAAAGCUGUGGCAGAACCAGGACUGGAACCUAUAUCUCUCUACUAAUGGUUUUUUUAAAAAAAUAACCUUGUUUCAAAAAUAUUAAAAAGUCACAAGAAAGGUAAACAUGUGGAUAAACAAAAUGAAGAAAAUAAAAAUUAUCCAGUAAUAACAUA
rnacentral:lncRNA from 1 species